CAUGGGAGCAAAUGCAAAUCUCACCCAGCCCCUCCCUUGCUGGGUUGAAAAGCAGGGAACUGGGCCUGUGAAAGUGACUCCUGUGCCCACCAUGGACAUGCUGUGGUCUACUCUCCUGCUGCUGACCUUCCCUUCCUGGGCUCUGUCUCAGGUCACCCUGAAGGAGUCUGGCCCUGGGCUGGUGAGACCCUCCCAGACCCUCACGCUGACCUGUUCCUUCUCUGGGUUCUCACUGAGCACUAGUAAUAUGGGUGUUGGCUGGAUCCGUCAGCCCCCUGGGAAGGCACUGGAGUGGCUCACAAAUGUUUGGUGGGAUGAUGAUAAGUAUUACAACCCAACUCUAAGGAGCAGGCUUACCAUCUCCAAGGACACCUCCAAAAACCAGGUCGUUCUCACAAUGACCAGUAUGGGCCCUGAAGACACAGCCACAUAUCACUGUGCAUGGAGGACACAGAGACACAUCCCAGGGGCCUCCUGUGUAUACUCUGAGGUUCAGCUCAUUCAGUCUGGGCCUCAGGUGAGGAAGCCUGCGACCUCAGUGAAGGUCUCCUGCAAGGCUUCUGGAUGCACCUUCACCAGCUACUGGAUUCACUGGGUGUGA